ACCCUGCGGGCCGGGUCAGUCCAGCAGAGCCCCUGGUACAAGCCGCUGUUGAUGGCGUUCACCAGCCACGGCCCAAAGCGCAGCUUCUGGGCAUCCCUGCGGGGACACGGGGCCGUCAUCGCGGGGGGCUUGGGGCUCGCAGACCCCUGGCCCGGUGCUGGGCCCCCUGCCCGGCUGCCUCGGUUUGCACGCUAAGGGCAUGAGUGGAGAAAUGGAGCUCCCAGGGUGACGGCUCCCCGCGCAGCCCGAGGACAGUGCGGCCGCACCACCACAAAGCCUCCUGCCACCGCUGCCACCUCGCUUGAUGGAAAUACCAGGGUUUAACACAAAAAAAGAGGGAAAAAAAUAAAUCAGGCCUGAUGCUGUACGUCCCCACGGGGACAUUUCUGAUGCCACCCCAUGAGGGUGCCCACCUUCAGGUGCUGCGGCCCCGCAAGCCCCUGGGAGGGGGACAGAGGCUGGGGGCAAAUUCCCUGUGCUGGAAAGGGGAAGCGGCACCCGGCCGGGCUGCAGCUGGUUUCCAGGCAGUUUUUCCUUGCCAAGAUCAGGCAGUAAGCACCAAAAAGAUCCAGAUCCAGGGCCAGCGCAGGGACAAGGUGACACAGGACAAGGUACAACCAAAAAGGGGCUGUGGCCAAGGGGAAACCCACGCUGGAGCAAUGGGGUUAGGAUGCUCCAGGUGCCACCCCUGCUGUCCCCUGCCCCGGGGACAAGUGUCACCUGCAGCAAGGGUAGCAGAGGCCUGGCUGGGGUGGGCAGAGGUGUGUUGAUCUAAGUGUGUUUGUUUGCUUUUAUUUCUUAAUAUUGGAAAAAAAAAUAGGUUUCUAUUAAUAAGUGACUAAUUGACUGGAAUUCCCCCAGUUUAACCUGUAUUUGGCUUUUGGUUGGUGACAGCCCGCGGGGUUACAGCCGCUGCCACUUCCUGAGCCCCUCAGGUGCCCCCCAGCCCUCACCCCUCUGAAAUGCUGGGUCCCAGGAUGGGGAAAGCAGGGAGGAAAACAGCUCCGAGCUCCCCCAAACUUACACCUGGAUUUGGAAAACCAUAAACGUCAGCCUCUAGGCAAGUGGGAUUUGGGGUAGUUUGUUGCUUUCUGGCAUGAAUCCCACCUCUCUUCCCUAUUUUGGCAAAGCUUGCGCUCCUCCAAAGGAGUGCUCAGAAGCUCAGGCUGACUUCUUUCGAUUUUCCUGUGAGGCACAGGAGGAGCUGGAGGUUUCAGGAGGAGGGAGCAGUUUUACAAAGAGGUUUUUAAAAGCAUCUAAAAGAAGGGGAACUUUCCCUCGACUUCAGCCCUGCACCUGAACCAAGUUUUCCCCCCAGCUGCCAACACUCAGGCAGCACAAGGGGGGUCCCCAGGCCAUCAGCUUC